rnacentral:rRNA from 1 species
UACGUAGGGACCAAGCGUUGUUCGGAUUUACUGGGCGUAAAGGGCGCGUAGGCGGCAAUUCAAGUCAUCUGUGAAAUCUCCGGGCUUAACUCGGAAUGGUCAGGUGAUACUGCUUUGCUAGAGUGCAGAAGGGGCAAUCGGAAUUCUUGGUGUAGCGGUGAAAUGCGUAGAUAAUCAAGAGGAACACCUGAGGUGAAAACGGGUUGCUGGGCUGACACUGACGCUGAGGCGCGAAAGCUAGGGGAGCAAACGGG